rnacentral:ncRNA from 1 species
UGGACCCGAAGCGGGGUGAUCUACCCAUGGCCAGUGUGAAGCGAUGGUAAGACGUCGUGGAGGCGCGAACCCACUUAGGUUGAAAACUGAGGGGAUGAGCUGUGGGUAGGGGUGAAAGGCCAAUCAAACUCCGUGAUAGCUGGUUCUCCCCGAAAUGCAUUUAGGUGCAGCGUCGUGUGUUUCUUGCCGGAGGUAGAGCUACUGGUUGGUUUAGCGGGACUACCAUCUUAGCGACAUCAGCCAAACUCCGAAUGCCGGUAAGUGAGAGCGCGGCAGUGAGACUGCGGGGGAUAAGCUUCGNGGUCGAGAGGGAAACAGCCCGGAUCGCCGGCUAAGGCCCCUAAGAGUGUACUAAGUGGAAAAGGAUGUGGGAUCGCGAAGACAGCCAGGAGGUUGGCUUAGAAGCAGCCAUCCUUGAAAGAGUGCGUAAUAGCUCACUGGUCGAGUGGUUCUGCGCCGACAAUGUAGUGGGGCUCAAGUACACCGCCGAAGCCGCGGAACUUCCAUCUUUUGGUGGGGGUUGGUAGGGGAGCGUCGUGUGGCCGGUGAAGGUGCGGGGUGACCCAGUGCUGGAGGCCAUGCGAGUGAGAAUGCAGGCAUGAGUAGCGAAUGACGAGUGAGAAACUCGUCCGCCGGAUGACUAAGGGUUCCUGGGUCAAGCUAAUCUUCCCAGGGUGAGUCGGGGCCUAAGGCGAGGCCGACAGGCGUAGUCGAUGGAUAACGGGUUGAUAUUCCCGUACCCGUGUGUGUGCGACCAUGGUGAAUCGGUGAUACUAACCACCCGUGUGUGCUGCUGUUUCCGGUCUUUGGCCGGUUGGUGGUGCAUGUGCGUGGGACCUGAGCUGGUAGUAGCCAAGUGAUGGGGUGACGCAGGAAGGUAGCCGAGCCACUUAUUGGAUUGUGGUGUAAGCGUGUGGCCCGUCAGCCUGGUAAAUCCGGUUGGCAUGAGGGUGAGGCGUGAUGCGUACCCGUUUGCGGGGAUGUCGGUGAUCCUAUGCUGUCGAGAAAAGCCUCUAGCGAUGUGCACAUUCGGCCCGUACCCAUAACCGACACAGGUGGUCAGGUAGAGAAUACUAAGGCGAUCGGGUGAACUGUGGUUAAGGAACUCGGCAAAAUGCCCCCGUAACUUCGGGAGAAGGGGGACCACUGCUGGUGACAGACUGGUUUUGAGCUGGUGGUGGUCGCAGAGAAUAGAGGGAAGCGACUGUUUACUAAAAACACAGGUCCGUGCGAAGACGGUAAGUCGAUGUAUACGGACUGACGCCUGCCCGGUGCUGGAAGGUUAAGAGGACCUGUUAGACCCUUGUGGUCGAAGCGGAGAAUUUAAGCCCCAGUAAACGGCGGUGGUAACUAUAACCAUCCUAAGGUAGCGAAAUUCCUUGUCGGGUAAGUUCCGACCUGCACGAAUGGCGUAACGACUUCCCUGCUGUCUCAACCACAGGCCCGGCGAAAUUGCAGUACGAGUAAAGAUGCUCGUUACGCGCGGCAGGACGAAAAGACCCCGGGACCUUCACUAUAGCUUGGUAUUGGUGUUCGGUUCGGUUUGUGUAGGAUAGGUGGGAGACUGUGAAGCGGCCACGCCAGUGGUUGUGGAGUCGUUGUUGAAAUACCACUCUGAUCGUAUUGGAUACCUGAACCUCGGCCCGUGAUCCGGGUUAGGGACAGUGCCUGGUGGGUAGUUUAACUGGGGCGGUUGCCUCCCAAAGUGUAACGGAGGCGCCCAAAGGUUCCCUCAGCCUGGUUGGCAAUCAGGUGUUGAGUGUAAGUGCACAAGGGAGCUUGACUGUGAGACUGACAGGUCGAGCAGGGACGAAAGUCGGGACUAGUGAUCCGGCACCGGCUUGUGGAAGCGGUGUCGCUCAACGGAUAAAAGGUACCCCGGGGAUAACAGGCUGAUCUUCCCCAAGAGUCCAUAUCGACGGGAUGGUUUGGCACCUCGAUGUCGGCUCGUCGCAUCCUGGGGCUGGAGUAGGUCCCAAGGGUUGGGCUGUUCGCCCAUUAAAGCGGCACGCGAGCUGGGUUUAGAACGUCGUGAGACAGUUCGGUCUCUAUCCGCCGCGCGCGUUGAAACUUGAGAAAGGCUGUCCCUAGUACGAGAGGACCGGGACGGACAUACCUCUGGUGGGCCAGUUGUCACGCCCGUGGCAUGGCUGGUUGGCUACGUAUGGGAGGGAUAACCGCUGAAAGCAUCUAAGCGGGAAGCCUGUUUCAAGAUGAGGUUUCGUUUGAGGUUCCCUGUAGAUGACGGGGUUGAUAGGCCGGAUCUGGACGCCAUGUAAGUGGUGGAGGUGACCGGUACUAAUUGACCGAAAUGACACACUGC